rnacentral:lncRNA from 1 species
GAAUACAUAUUUAUACACACAAACGUUCGCUCUAAACGCAGGUCAAGGCAAGGGCAUUGGAGAUCCUCGGAGAGAGAGGAGACAAGGCUGCUGACCUUAUUAGGACGAAAUGCGAGGCUGACGUGGACUUUGGUGAGCUGAUUAGCACAGUGUUCUCGGAGACAGUUGCAAACGGCAUUAAGGCGGCCUACGCUCAGUGCAAGCCUGCAUCUCGCUAGGGGGCUAGCCGUUGCAAUGGAGCUUCGGAAGUGGAGAACGCCGUUCGUGAAAAUACAUUUUUACGGUAAAAAAAAAAAAUUAAAGGUCCAAAGUCAGGCAAUCCC